rnacentral:rRNA from 1 species
UGGUAAUGCCGGAUGCUCCAGUUGACCGCAUGGUCCUCUGGGAAAGCUUUUGCGGUAUGGGAUGGGGUCGCGUCCUAUCAGCUUGAUGGCGGGGUAACGGCCCACCAUGGCUUCGACGGGUAGCCGGCCUGAGAGGGCGACCGGCCACAUUGGGACUGAGAUACGGCCCAGACUCCUACGGGAGGCAGCAGUGGGGAAUAUUGCACAAUGGGCGCAAGCCUGAUGCAGCGACGCCGCGUGCGGGAUGACGGCCUUCGGGUUGUAAACCGCUUUUGACUGGGAGCAAGCCCUUCGGGGUGAGUGUACCUUUCGAAUAAGCACCGGCUAACUACGUGCCAGCAGCCGCGGUAAUACGUAGGGUGCAAGCGUUAUCCGGAAUUAUUGGGCGUAAAGGGCUCGUAGGCGGUUCGUCGCGUCCGGUGUGAAAGUCCAUCGCUUAACGGUGGAUCCGCGCCGGGUACGGGCGGGCUUGAGUGCGGUAGGGGAGACUGGAAUUCCCGGUGUAACGGUGGAAUGUGUA